rnacentral:tRNA from 1 species
UCAGCACGGCAUCACUGUUCUAGUUGACAAAGAAAGCCUUGACAUCAUGAACGGCACCGUGAUUGAUUAUAAACAAUCCAUGCUCGGCG